GGCUAAGCCGCUCAUCGACUAAUCCUCGCAAAAUCAACCUUAGAAAGGGCCAUUCCCGGGGACGGCGCUAGGACCUUCCAUAAUGACACCACAAAGCCCCAGCUGUCAUAGUCGUAUCCGCAGGUCCUGCUGCUCCUGCUGCUGCUGCUGCUGCUGCUGCA